UGCGUUAGGGCUCGCGGGAAGGGAAGGGAACGGGGCUGGUAGCGAGGGCGGGCCGCUGAUGAUCCAUACUGACCUUUCUGACACCUCGUCUGAGGGCGGCGGGCGGCCGCGGCCCCUGCUGAGCAGCCACGGCUGAGGCCCGCGGGAGCCGCGGCGGGGCCGGGCCGGGCGCUCGGGCUCCCCCUCACGCGCUGCCUUCUCCCCUCAGGGCUCGGCGGGAACCGGCGGCGACGCGGGACGUCCGUGCUCGGACCGCGGCUGCUCCCGGGGCUCUGAGCCGGUCAAACGCCUGUGCCGGCUGUGCUCUGUGUUCCAGGUGAAUGCCCUGAGCGCGAUGGUGCGGGUAACUAAAAGCAUUUACACUCUACGGCGUGUAGAUUGAGAAUUUAAAUCUUUAUUCUGCUGUGGAAUAUAACAAGUUAUUCCAGCAAUGUUCUUGCCCCAGCCUCAGAUCGAGUCCAGCCUUGUCAUUAAACUCUUUGCUGCUGUACCAAUUUUUUAGCUUGCAGGUUAAUAAAGUUUUCAACUACUU